rnacentral:lncRNA from 1 species
GAAAAGAAGCCGGAUAUCAGGUCCCAAGCGAGCACCGGCUAUUUGCAGCUUGGGGACGCUGGAAGUGAGGACCCGGGAGGGGCAACGACCAUCGGUGGAGAUAGACGAUUCAUCCCCACCCCCGCCGCUCUGUGACUUGUUCUUAGGUAACCAGCAAGAUCAGUAUUUCGAAUGUCACAGUGUCUCCACCUUUGUUCCCUGUGAAAACUCACAAGCCUUUUGGAGGAAAAGGAGGAAUAUACAGGGCCCUACAAACGUUUGGAGCUCAGAGUCACUUCUGAGCCUUGGGAAAGGGAAGACGUCGGCUAUCAGCUGUCCCCAGCUUUUCCUCGGUACCGCAGGUACUCGCUCUGGGAGAGAAGGGUGUGACUCGUUUAUAGUGUCUCAGAAGUCCCCCCUCUCCCCUAUUUGAUCCACAUGGCCCCGAUGCCAGUAAGAGAAAGAGACUCUUGAGAAGAAAAUUCUGCCUGCGUGGGUCGAUAUGUUUAUCUAGUCGGAACGGAAAGAGAUAGUAUAAAAACAAAGAGGUGAGACGUAGUGAGACAAGCCUGUGAUCUCAGGAGUUCCGCCGACUGGGGCAGGAGGAUGGCCAACCUGGGCUACAUAGAGAGGUCCUGUCUCAAACAUAAAGAAGGAAAGAAAGAAAAAAUAAAAA